ACUGGACUUCAGACGCUUUUCCGAUCUGUGGAAUGUUCUAUAAUCUUUGUGCUCUUGCCAGUUUAUUGGGUUCCAUAAUUUCCUUACCCCUUCCCAGUCUAGCUGGAUUGCAGAGUUAAGUUUAUGAUUAUGAAAUAAAAACUAAACAGUUAAAAAAAAGAAAAGAAAUAUUAAACAUACUCUAUUAACCAUGGUUGUUUUGUUCUGAUGAAAGAAAGCACAUUCUAACCCAGCUGGGAGUUGUUCACCCCCAGGGCCUGGAAGUCAACCUUGGAAUUCAGCCUAUUAUCCUAUUAUCAUGGAAAGAUUAACCACCCUAUUGCUUAAACAAUGGCCUCCUGCCCUCAAGCCUGUAACCUGUAACAAUCAUACCCAUUUUUAUUCCUUUUGUCUACUUCAUGUCAUCUUUGUCUUACCCAAAG